rnacentral:sRNA from 1 species
AUGUAGCACUCGUACACUCCGGUUCCUGCGCGCCGUCCACACCCACCUGACGGCCGCUCGCUACGCUCUGUUAGCC